UCGAGUAUGGUGUAACGGCUAACAUUACCGCCUUUCAUUUAAUGCGGCCAUGACGGACGCGGUAGCUCGGGGUUCGAUUCCCCGUACUCGAG